rnacentral:rRNA from 1 species
UACGUAGGGGGCAAGCGUUAUCCGGAUUUACUGGGUGUAAAGGGAGCGUAGACGGCAGGGCAAGUCUGGAGUGAAAGCCCGGGGCCCAACCCCGGGACUGCUUUGGAAACUGCCAUGCUAGAGUGCUGGAGAGGUAAGCGGAAUUCCUGGUGUAGCGGUGAAAUGCGUAGAUAUCAGGAGGAACACCAGUGGCGAAGGCGGCUUACUGGACUGUAACUGACGUUGAGGCACGAAAGCGUGGGUAUCGAACAGG